rnacentral:rRNA from 1 species
AUACGGGAGGCAGCAGUGGGGAAUCUUCCGCAAUGGACGAAAGUCUGACGGAGCAACGCCGCGUGAGUGAAGAAGGUUUUCGGAUCGUAAAGCUCUGUCUUUAAGGACGAAUGUGCGCUAUGUAAAUAAUGUAGUGUAAUGACGGUACUUGAGGAGGAAGCCACGGCUAACUACGUGCCAGCAGCCGCGGUAAUACGUAGGUGGCGAGCGUUGUCCGGAAUCAUUGGGCGUAAAGGGCGCGUAGGUGGGAUGAUCAGUCUGUCUUAAAAGUUCGGGGCUCAACCCCGUGAUGGGAUGGAAACUGUCAUUCUUGAGUGCAGGAGAGGAAAGUGGAAUUCCCAGUGUAGCGGUGAAAUGCGUAGGUAUUGGGAGGAACACCAGUGGCGAAGGCGACUUUCUGGACUGUGUCUGACACUGAGGCGCGAAAGCCAGGGAAGUGAACGGGAUUAGAUACCCUGGUAGA